AAACCGGAGGAAGGUGGGGAUGACGUCAAGUCAUCAUGGCCCUUACGGCCAGGGCUACACACGUGCUACAAUGGCGCAUACAAAGAGAAGCGACCUCGCGAGAGCAAGCGGACCUCAUAAAGUGCGUCGUAGUCCGGAUUGGAGUCUGCAACUCGACUCCAUGAAGUCGGAAUCGCUAGUAAUCGUAGAUCAGAAUGCUACGGUGAAUACGUUCCCGGGCCUUGUACACACCGCCCGUCACACCAUGGGAGUGGGUUGCAAAAGAAGUAGGUAGCUUAACCUCCGGGAGGGCGCUUACCACUUUGUGAUUCAUGACUGGGGUGAAGUCGUAACAAGGUAACCAAGGGCGAAUUCUG
rnacentral:rRNA from 1 species